AAUCUGUCAAGCGGAAGGCGCCAAUAA
rnacentral:sRNA from 1 species